rnacentral:rRNA from 1 species
UACAGAGGUCCCAAGCGUUGUUCGGAUUCACUGGGCGUAAAGGGUGCGUAGGUGGCGAGGUAAGUCGGAUGUGAAAGCUCGGAGCUCAACUCCGAAAUGGCAUUGGAAACUACCUUGCUCGAGGGUUGGAGGGGGGACUGGAAUUCUCGGUGUAGCAGUGAAAUGCGUAGAUAUCGAGAGGAACACCAGUGGCGAAGGCGAGUCCCUGGACAACUCAUGACACUGAGGCACGAAAGCUAGGGGAGCAAACAGG